CCUACGGGUGGCAGCAGUGAGGAAUAUUGGUCAAUGGACGAGAGUCUGAACCAGCCAAGUAGCGUGAAGGAUGACUGCCCUACGGGUUGUAAACUUCUUUUAUAUGGGAAUAAAAUGUUCCACGUGUGGGAUUUUGUAUGUACCAUAUGAAUAAGGAUCGGCUAACUCCGUGCCAGCAGCCGCGGUAAUACGGAGGAUCCGAGCGUUAUCCGGAUUUAUUGGGUUUUAAGGGAGCGUAGGUGGAGUGUUAAGUCAGUUGUGAAAGUUUGCGGCUCAACCGUAAAAUUGCAGUUGAAACUGGCAGUCUUGAGUACAGUAGAGGUGGGCGGAAUUCGUGGUGUAGCGGUGAAAUGCUUAGAUAUCACGAAGAACUCCGAUUGCGAAGGCAGUUCACUGGACUGCAACUGACACUGAGGCUCGAAAGUGUGGGUAUCAAACAGGAUUAGAUACCCCUGUAGUC
rnacentral:rRNA from 1 species